UUAUCAUUUAGAGGAAGGAGAAGUCAUAACAAGGUUUCCAUAGGUGAACCUGCAGAAGGAUUAUUGUCGAACCUGCGCAGCAGAAUGACCUGAGAACCUGUUUUAACGUCGGGGAUCGUCGGGCCUCCGGGCCCGGUGUCCCCUUUAUCCUGGGAGCCCGCUCCCGGGUGUACAAACGAACACCGGCGCGAAUUGCGCCAAGGAACCUGAACGAAAAAGCACGUUCCUAUUACCCCGGAAACAAUGCGCGCGCGGGUACGUCGUUGCCUUCGAUACGUCAAAACGACUCUCGGCAACGGAUAUCUCGGCUCUCGCAUCGAUAAAGAACGUAGUGAAAUACGAUACUUGGUGUGAAUUGCAAAAUCCUGUGAAUCAUCGAGUCUUCGAACGUAAGUUACGCCUGAAGCCAUCAGGCCGAGGGCACGCCUGCUUGGGCGUCACACGCUAUUGCCCCCCCCCGUACCUCUCUUUGGAGCGUCGGGGGGUGGACGAUGGCUUCCCGUGCGUCACCCCGCCCGGUUGGCAUAAAUGCCGGGCCCUCGGCGAGAAACACCACGACAAUCGAUGGUUGUCGAACCUCGAUUGCCCGUUGUGCACCUUCGUCGCGCUCCGAGCGACCCGCGACGGUCUCUGCUCCUCUUCGGCAGAGCUUUCAAUGCAACCCCAGGUCAGGCGGGGUUACCUGCUGAAUUUAAGCAUA
rnacentral:misc_RNA from 1 species